CCACAGACAGACAUCCACAGACAGACAUCCACAGACAGACAUCCACAGACAGACAUCCACAAACAGACAUCCACAGACAGACAUCCACAGACAGACAUCCACAGACAGACAUCCACAGACAGACAUCCACUAACAGACAUCCACAGACAGACAUCCACACAUCCACAAACAGACAUCCACAAACAGACAUCCACAAACAGACAUCCACAAACAGACAUCC